rnacentral:rRNA from 1 species
CCUACGGGUGGCAGCAGUGAGGAAUAUUGGUCAAUGGUCGGGAGACUGAACCAGCCAAGCCGCGUGAGGGAUGAAGGUACAGAGUAUCGUAAAUCUCUUUUGUCAGGGAACAAUGGCGGGGACGUGUCCCCGGAUGAGUGUACCUGAAGAAAAAGCAUCGGCUAACUCCGUGCCAGCAGCCGCGGUAAUACGGAGGAUUCGAGCGUUAUCCGGAUUUAUUGGGUUUAAAGGGUGCGCAGGCGGAUUGUUAAGUCAGCGGUCAAAAGCCCGGGCUUAACCCCGGCCCCGCCGUUAAAACUGGCAGUCUCGAGUGGGAGUGAGGUAUGCGGAAUGCGCGGUGUAGCGGUGAAAUGCAUAGAUAUCACACAGAACUCCGAUUGCGAAGGCAGCAUGCCGGCUCCACACUGACGCUGAGGCACGAAAGCGUGGGUAUCGAACAGGAUUAGAUACCCCUGUAGUC